rnacentral:rRNA from 1 species
AGAACGAACGCUGGCGGCAUGCCUAACACAUGCAAGUCGAACGCUCGUAGCAAUACGGGAGUGGCGGACGGGUGAGUAACGCGUGGGAACCUGCCCUGGAGUGGGGGAUAACCGAUGGAAACGUCGGCUAAUACCGCAUACGACCUGAGGGUGAAAGAUUUAUCGCUCUAGGAGGGGCCCGCGUCGGAUUAGCUAGUUGGUGAGGUAACGGCUCACCAAGGCGAUGAUCCGUAGCUGGUCUGAGAGGAUGAUCAGCCACACUGGGACUGAGACACGGCCCAGACUCCUACGGGAGGCAGCAGUGGGGAAUAUUGGACAAUGGGGGCAACCCUGAUCCAGCAAUGCCGCGUGAGUGAUGAAGGCCUUAGGGUUGUAAAGCUCUUUCGGCGGGGACGAUGAUGACGGUACCCGCAGAAGAAGCCCCGGCUAACUUCGUGCCAGCAGCCGC